AGCAUAUCAAUAAGCGGAGGAAAAGAAACCAACAGGGAUUACCUCAGUAACGGCGAGUGAAGCGGUAACAGCUCAAAUUUGAAAUCUGGCUCUUUUAGGGUCCGAGUUGUAAUUUGUAGAAGAUGCUUCGGGUGUAGCUCCGGUCUAAGUUCCUUGGAACAGGACGUCAUAGAGGGUGAGAAUCCCGUAUGUGACUGGUGGCUUUCGCCCAUGUGAAGCUCUUUCGACGAGUCGAGUUGUUUGGGAAUGCAGCUCUAAAUGGGUGGUAAAUUUCAUCUAAAGCUAAAUAUUGGCCAGAGACCGAUAGCGCACAAGUAGAGUGAUCGAAAGAUGAAAAGCACUUUGGAAAGAGAGUUAAACAGUACGUGAAAUUGUUGAAAGGGAAGCGCUUGCAACCAGACUUGCACCCCGUCGAUCAUCCCCCGUUCUCGGAGGUGCACUCGGCGGGGUUCAGGCCAGCAUCGGUUUCGGUGGUGGGGUAAAGGCCUUGGGAACGUAGCUCCUCUCGGGGAGUGUUAUAGCCCUCGGUGCAAUGCCGCCUACCGGGACCGAGGACCGCGCUUCGGCUAGGAUGC
rnacentral:rRNA from 1 species